GUCUGUGAGGCUUGUGCUCAGACGUAACCAGGACAUUAUGUCAUUUUUUCCCCCUGUAUACAUCCUCACGCUCCUGUAGCCUUUUCCCUCAUCGCCUGCUCUUCUUUUCCAGCUGGACACAAGAUCUUUCCCUGUCUUUUCAACCCAGCUCCGUGGCCUGGCACAUUCAGGUGGAGACUAGAUGGAGGACAUCUUACGAGAUGAGCUUUGAACCUACCAUUCCUCCUCUCACUUAGGAAGGUUUGGUCCAGUCUUGUGCUUGCUUCUGCUUCUGCAGAGGCCAUGGCUCCACAAUGCCUGUGGAGGAAACUCAGCAAUCUCUAUGAGCUCAAGGAGACACACAGUGUGAAGACUUUGCAUCCCUCCGCAGAGCAAGGCAGUGAUUGAGAGCCAGGCUCUGAGACUGUGCCACAUAAACUCCCACUUCUAGCUGUAAUCUUGAACAUAAUGCUUACUUUUACUAUAUCUUAGUUUUUCAUCUGACAGGCACAAUAAAAAAAUCUUUCCUUCAAU
rnacentral:lncRNA from 1 species